rnacentral:rRNA from 1 species
CGAACGCUGGCGGCAGGCCUAAUACAUGCAAGUCGAACGGCUCUUCGGAGCAGUGGCGGACGGGUGAGUAACGCGUGGGAAUGUGCCCUUAGGUACGGAACAACACAGGGAAACUUGUGCUAAUACCGUAUGUGCCCUUCGGGGGAAAGAUUUAUCGCCUUUGGAGCAGCCCGCGUUGGAUUAGGUAGUUGGUGAGGUAAAGGCUCACCAAGCCGACGAUCCAUAGCUGGUCUGAGAGGAUGACCAGCCACACUGGGACUGAGACACGGCCCAGACUCCUACGGGAGGCAGCAGUAGGGAAUCUUGCGCAAUGGGCGAAAGCCUGACGCAGCCAUGCCGCGUGUAUGAUGAAGGUCUUAGGAUUGUAAAAUACUUUCACCGGGGAAGAUAAUGACGGUACCCGGAGAAGAAGCCCCGGCUAACUUCGUGCCAGCAGCCGCAGUAAAAC